rnacentral:rRNA from 1 species
GUAUUCCCUUAGUAACGGCGAGUGAACAGGGAAGAGCCCAGCACCGAAGCCUGCGGUCAUUUGGCUGUUAGGCAAUGUGGUGUUUAGGUUCUAUCGCAGAAGUACCACUUCACUCAAAGUCCAGCAAUGAGUAUGGUUUAUUGGACUUGGCCCAAAGAGGGUGAAAGGCCCGUGCGGGUGAAGAUCAAGCAGGUUGGUGCUUCUACCGGUGGACCUUGGAGUCGGGUUGUUUGUGAAUGCAGCCCAAAGUGGGUGGUAAACUCCAUGCCAAGGCUAAAUACCUACACGAGUCCGAUAGCGAACAAGUACCGUGAGGGAAAA